rnacentral:rRNA from 1 species
AUGUCGACGCGGUCGCGGCCGCCAUUGUCGAGCGCAGCUUGCGCGAGGAGGCGGAGCGCCGGCGCCACCACGAGGAGCUCGAGGACCUCGUGUUCCAGCAGGCGGUCGCGGCGAACCUUGCCGCCAAGGAGAAGGACGACGAGUAGCGGCGCAUCCACGAGGAGCAGAAGGCGAAGUACAUCGACCUCAGCAGCUCCGACGAGGAGGAUUGAGCUCCUCCACCGCGUUGUCCAUGGCCGCGAGCUCGCCGCCGUUAGAUCCUCACCCCCUCUAGUACUAGUAGUGAAUGUAGUAUGUAGUAUGAACUAG